rnacentral:rRNA from 1 species
UACGGAGGGUGCAAGCGUUAAUCGGAAUUACUGGGCGUAAAGCGCACGCAGGCGGUCUGCCAAGUCGGAUGUGAAAUCCCCGGGCUUAACCUGGGAACUGCAUCCGAAACUGGCAGGCUAGAGUCUUGUAGGGGGGGGGUAGAAUUCCACGUGUAGCAGUGAAAUGCGUAGAGAUGUGGAGGAAUACCGAUGGCGAAGGCAGCCCCCUGGGAUAACACUGACGCUCAUGCUCGAAAGCGUGGGUAGCAAACAGG